AAUAAAAUCAUCCACAAUAAUAUUAAUAUCUGAUUAUUAAAAAUCUAUGACUAAGAACUGUUCAAAACCACAAAGACCACACUAAAGUCACAACCACACAAAUAUCAAUACAAAAAUAACCAAACCAAAAAACCACUCUCCACCUAAAAAAAAAAAAAAAGGCAAAAAAAAACUACAUUCCAGAAACAGAACUAAAGCUCCUACCUACUGUUAAAAAAAGUUAUCCAUGAACUGUUUAUACAAUCUUUGUGUGAACUGAAGCACCUGCUUUUAAUCAUCGUCCUCAGCAUUGGGUAUAUCCGUAAAUUCAUCCUUGGAGUAUAAUCUGGGGUUGAGAAGCCUGUGGUCCAUACAUGCCACAAUGUCGCAAUGGUCCACAUGGUAGUCCUGCUUCCAGUGGUUAUCGUAAAAAGAGUACAGUCCAUUCCGCUCUUCCAGGUACUCCACUACCACAUACUCUGCAAACACUUGCUUAAUAAGGGCUCCAAACUGUACUCUCCUUUGAUUUUUUCUUCUCUUUGUGUCAGGCUCUACCAGCAAAAAAACAAACUCUCCCUCCCGUAUAAAUGGUAGGUCGGUUGAACUGCCUUGAUCCUCAUCUGUGUCAGCUGCAUCCUUGCUUGGACUUGGAGCAGCUGGUUUCCUACCUUGGGCAGCUCUUUUUCUGCCUUGGGCAGCUGGUUUGCCUUGGGUAGCUGUUUUUUUGCCUUGGGCAGCUGUUUUUUUGCCUUGAGUGACCGGCUCGUCAUCUGAAGCAGCUCGUUUCCUACCUCGGGCAGCUGUCUUCUUGCCUUGGGCAGG
rnacentral:misc_RNA from 1 species